AUUGAACGCUGGCGGCAUGCUUUACACAUGCAAGUCGAACGGCAGCGCGGGCUUCGGCCUGGCGGCGAGUGGCGAACGGGUGAGUAAUACAUCGGAACGUGCCCAGUAGUGGUGUAUAGCUCGGCGACAGCCGGAUUCAUACCGCAUUCGACCUUAGGGUGAAAGCGGGGGAUCUUCGGACCUCGCGCUCUUGGACCGGCCCAUGGCCGAUUAGCUAGUUGGUGGGGUAAAGGCCUACCAAGGCGCCGAUCUGUAGCUGGUCUGAGAGGACGACCAGCCACACUGGGACUGAGACACGGCCCAGACUCCUACGGGAGGCAGCAGUGGGGAAUUUUGGACAAUGGGCGAAAGCCUGAUCCAGCAAUGCCGCGUGUGUGAUGAAGGCCUUCGGGUUGUAAAGCACUUUUGGCGGGAACGAAAAGGACUGUGCCAAUACCACGGUUCGAUGACGGUACCCGCAGAAUAAGCACCGGCUAACUACGUG
rnacentral:rRNA from 1 species